rnacentral:RNase_P_RNA from 1 species
GCAGCCGGGCGUUUCGUCGCGCGCCGUCAGCGAGACGGUGUGAGGAAAGUCCGGGCAACAUAGAGCGCCAUAUUUCCUAACGGGAAGCUGCCGGCAACGGCAGGGUUUAAGGUGACAGAAAACUACCGCCUCAUCAGCGGCAACGCCGGGAGGUAAGGGUGAAAAGGCGGGGUAAGAGCCCGCCGGCGGCCAUGGCGACAUGGCCGGCCGCACCACCUAUGGGUUGCAAGGCCAAGUAUACCGGCAUUCAAGGGCUGCUCGUCCAUUGCCGGGGGGUAGGCUGCUAAAGCCGUAUGGCGACAUGCGGCGUAGAUAAAUGACGGAACGGCCGCAAUGGCCCCGCUCUGCGGGAAGCGUUGUGCCGACAUAACCCGGCUUAUAGCCCGGCUGCUUUU